rnacentral:rRNA from 1 species
UGGAACUCGGGGCAAUGGGACUCGGGAGGACGGGGGGUGCAGGCGUUAUUCGGAUUUCUUGGGGUUAAAGGGUCCGUAGGCGGACCGGUAAGUCAGGGGUGAAAGCCUACAGCUGAACUGUAGAACUGCCGUUGAUACGGUCGGGCUUGAGUGUGGUUGAGGUAGGUGGAAUGAGUAGUGUAGCGGUGAAAUGCAUAGAUAUUACUCAGAACACCAAUUGCGAAGGCAGGUUACCAAGUCACAACUGACGCUGAUGGACGAAAGCGUGGGGAGCGAACAGGAUUAGAUACCCGAGUAGUC